CUCAGUAAGGAAAGUAGCUAUUGGCUGUCCUAAAAGUCGCCAAAUGAUGUCAUCACAUAAUUUGUAUAAUUGGCCAUGUGCAUGUAAUUGUGAUGGACGCUGUAGGAGAGGAAUUACGUCGUGGGAGAGACAUAAAGUACUUAGAAACACUUACAUUGGUGGACUCGUCGAGGAGGCGGCUGAAAUGCUGGUCACCCACAUCUGCAAUCAACUUUUUCAGAAAGUAUGGUGCUAGAACACCAUAAUUUCUGUGCACUUUGUCCUGUGCGUUUUGAAGUGGGCAGCAGCAGUGGAGUCUGAGAAAGCAGCUCUACAUGCUUCUUCAAUGUGAUCACAUACCAGCAUGGAAGUGUUCAGCGAUAGCUAAAUGCCAUGGUGGCCUCAAACUUUUUUGCAGUCAAUUUUUUAAACUAUAAAUGACAGCUUGUUUUUGGUGAAAGUGUUAUAAGGCGUUGCCUUUUGAGUAUGUUUUUGAGUUGUCAUGUGUUUUUUUUUUUUUUUACAUCAAAGUGUGGUGUAGAAAUCAGCCUUACAAUACAUGCAGUAUCCCGUGUAUCAUCUCCAAUAAACAGCUUCAACCAGC